CAGAGACGUGACCGAACUGCCGAAACGUCUGGUCAAAUUAAAUGUCUUUUUAAAUUAUUAUGACAGUUUAUUUUUAGGACAAGAAAAAACGUUUAUUUUUAGGACGCGUGUUUCUAUUAAUAGAUUGUAAUUUAAAAACUAUCAAAGACGUGGAAGAACUGCCGAAAAGUGUGGUCACUAAUGUCACUCCGGUUUUAAUUAUAGAAAUAAAUUAGCUAGUGACCACAAAGCCAAAGCCAUUACUCUUAGCCCAAUGUAAUCAAUAUGCAUUGCUCGUUAUAGGACUGCAUUUUGCUGACUAAAAUUAGACUAUAAUAUUUUUUGUGUGUGGAAAUACCAACAUAAAUUAAAAAAGAAAGAAAGAACUUAAAAUCAGAAAGAAAGAAAGAAAAGAAAGAAAGAAAAGAACUUAAAAAGAAGAACUACAAAGAACUUAAAAUCAGAC